UUUGGCUAUUUCAUUUUCACUACACCAGUUGGUAAAGGCGUAUCCAGACUAGUACAUUUUUCGCCAAUCUGAUUAAAUUGCCCGAUCGAAUCAGGACGUGCGGAUGUUAACGCCAAUUUGGCUCGCCGAAUUCAACCGCCGAUAAUGACCGAUAAAAUGAGGUGCGGAGUUGCGGACGCAAGAAUACCAAUUUGCAAAGUAAUAAAAUGCAAAUUUUGCUGGAAGAAUUGAUUAUUUUCAGGGAGAAAAAAAAACAAGAAAUAAUAAAAGGAACUUACAGGAGUGUAUGGACAGAAGUGAUCAAAUCGACCGAUUUGAUCAGAAAUGAAAUUGGUGGCAAUUUCGAAUUUUAUCACCAAUUUUAGAUUUAUGGUGAUAUUAGAGCCCCCUAAAU